rnacentral:rRNA from 1 species
GAUGAACGCUGGCGGCGUGCCUAACACAUGCAAGUCGAGCGAUUUACUUCGGUAAAGAGCGGCGGACGGGUGAGAAACGCGAGGGGAACCGGCACUCUACACACAGCUGACAUCCCGAACGGUAUGACCAUACGAGAGAGUGUGCUAUUAUCGAUUGGUAGAGGUCUUAAAUCUGUUGCGGUACGGGAUGGACCCGCGUCUGAUGAGCUGGUUGGGGAGGUUACGACUCACCAGGGGGACGAUCAGUGUCCGACCGGGGAGGGGGAUCGGCCACAUCGGAACUGAGACGCGGUCGAAACGCCUACGGGAGGCAGCGGGGGGGAAUAUUGCACAAUGGGCGAGAGCCUGAUGCAGCACCGCCGCGUGAGAGAUGAAGGCGUUCGUGUCGUAGAGCUCUGUCGUCUAUGAGGAUAUUGACGGUACUUGAGGAGGAAGCCCCGGCUAACUACGUG